CCUGCCAGGACAACCUCUCCAAAGUGAUAAUUUCCUUUCUUCAGUUGCUGUGCUCUGCCCCUGCUGAGAGUGCUGUGAACUUCCUCCUGAGGGCACACACACAAGCAAGAGCACUCAGGAUGCUGCUGCUUCCUCUCCUGGCUCUGGCUGCAGCCUGGUCUCAUGGACAAACACAAGUGCUUCUGAAGCAGAGAGAAGUAUCCAUUACCAGAGGGCACAAGACAACUCCAUCAAUGGACUGUAGAGCUGAGGGUGUUCCUGACUUCCAGUAUGCAUAUAUACAAUGGUACCGACACAUACCCGCCAAAGCUCCAGAAAGGACUCUGUAUAUUGGACCCAGUGCAGUUUCUUAUGAUGACAAUUCCUACAGCAACAAGUAUUCUUCUUCAAAGAAAGAAAAAAGAAGUUCUCCCCCAAAAAACGCUGAAAUCCUGCAGAAAAAACAUGAAAAUCAGAUAAUGUAUGUUUGCUUUAUUGAGAAAUUCUACCCAGAAGUUAUUAGGGUGACAUGGACUGAAGACGAAAAGGAGGUAACAGACAACAUAGUAAAAGGUGAUACUUGGAAGUCCACAAAAGAGGAUGAAUACUCAAUUGCCAGUUGGUUAACUGUGCCAGCAGAGAGUGAAGACAAGAAAUACUACUGCAAAUAUGAGCAUGAAGAGAAAAGUACUUCACUGCCAACACAAGUAGCUUCUGUGAAGACUGCUCCUCAGGAAGAGGACUGCAGAACCGUUUUUAAUAGAGAUCAGUUAAUGCACAAGACAGCAUAUAUAGUAUACAUCAUCCUUCUUCUGAAGAGCUCCGUGUACAAUAUUAUCAUACUCUUCUUCAUCUAUAGAAUGUGGGCUUUAACCAAGCACCAAGGAAAGAAAGCAUAAAUGCUAUUUUAAGAAAGGGCUACAAAUCUUCAAUUUACUUUGCAGUAUGCUUAUUCAUAUAGAAUCUCCUGCUCUUGCAGUUAGAUGUAACAGCAAAAAAAAAAAAAAAAAAAAAAAAAAAAAAAAAAAAAAUCCAAAAUAAUUUUCUGGUAGUAGUGCUUAAAGGCUCAUUUUGCUUUACUGCUGGUGUUUCUAUACCAGUCUGGUUUUCUUAAUCUUUUUCUUAAUAUUGAAUAAAGAUAGGCAAUAGGAAUAAUGCAUUUUAAUCCAAGUCCAUAUUGCAGAACGAAGAAGGUAGCCAUGUCAGAAAUAGCUAUGCAUCCAGAAGCUUGGGGGUAUAGCAGGGCUUUUGACAAAUAUGCACAGAUGUGUUUUGCCACUGCAUUUAAGGCUUAAAUAGGAACAUUCCUGUGCAGUAAAUUCACAGGUUUGGUUAAUUUUUACUUUCAGUGACUUGUUGCAACUCUCAUGUAUCCAACAAAUCAGGAAUUAAUUAUUCUGAAGUGGUGUGCUGUAAUAGACAAUUAAACAAAACUUUAAGAAGUGAACGAAAGAAUUUUGAAUGAGGAAGUCAGACAAGAAUAUAAGCAAUUCUAAGGUGCACACGUGCAGAAAUUGAAGAAAUCCACCAGCAACACAGUCUGAAAAUCUGCACAGUGUAAUUUAAAAAAAAGGAAACUAUCACAAUGAUCAUGAGCAUGACCUUGUUUAAAGACACCUUUUAAAACUGAACAAAACUGCAAAUAUGAAGCUCUGAUUUUCACAAAGGAAGAAAAAUUCUCAGAGACUGAACUCUUAAUUUCCCAGUUCCACACAUCAAUUCCUUUCAAAUUUAUGUGGAAAAAUAGGAAGGAGAGAUAUUGAGAUAAAUCACUUGCUUGGUUUUGGGCAAAACACUGCCCUAGGUUUUGGAGAUAUACCUCUGCAGCAUUUACAUUCACUGUGUCUGUAAUGAUGAUAGCAAUAAAAGCUUUCCCCCAGCUGUCUUUAUGAGGCCUGUGUUUGCUCUUCAGCAUUUCCAGAGCCUGUACAAAGAUGUCUAGAAAACCUGAUUAAUUUCUCUGUUCAUAUAAAUUUCUCAGGAAAUCAAAGGUCCUUAAAACAUCACUUUUCUGCAUUUCAAUGUGUUAAUAGAAACAGUUUGACAUGGAACAAUAAAUACUAGUUUGUUCCAUCUUUUCUGUUAUAAAACAGAAAGCUAAUCUUUGUAAGACAGCUAAGCCAUGUCAAGGGAAAAUGUUGUUACAACUGGACUACCUCCUAGGGCUCAUGCCAUCGUAAGGGAAAGAAAACAGACGAGGCUGAGUUCUAACAACCACAACUAUUUUACUAAUGGCAUACCUUACAAACUAUGUUAAAAUCUGAAUAUUGAAGCCAAAGCAAGUAAUUAAUGCCUUCAAUGUUGUGUUGCUCUUCAAUGUGAAGAAAGUUGUGAUUUGUAGUCUUCAGUUAAACUCUGAGAAAUACCUGGGAUCCCAUGCUAUUAUUUAUUAAGGUUUGGUUCCAAUCAAAAUGAAAAAAAAAAAAAAAACAGCUUAAAAGGUAUUUUUGGAAUGCAGUAACUGAAGAUUUCAGUAGCAUCAUAGAUUUUACCUGGAUAUUACAUGAUCUCCUCUGCCUCUGUUAGACAAAUGUUUGACUGCAUUAAGGAACCAAGAUCUCUCACUAUAUGAUCCCUGAAUCCACUCUUUGUGUUUCGUACACAAAACUGAAAGAUAUUGUCCAUGCUGUUCAGAAAAAGAGAAAACAUAGGAAACUCCUUGCCUACAUGCAACCCUAAACCAUCACCUCUCAGUUUCAGGGGUUUUUCAAAUACUUGGUUGCAGGUUUUACACCUUCCAAGAGCUCACAUAUGCCUUAAGUUUGUUUACACAAACAUAAACAGCUCCUACUAAGAUUUUAAUUCUUAUUUAUUUAGCACAAAUUAGAGGAAAAGUAGAUUUUUAAGGUUUCUGGCUGCUGGGGCGUUUGUUUACAGGAAGGUUUGGUUAUGUAGUGGAAAAACCCUAUAAACUGAACCAGUCACAACUGGUUCAGAGGACGUGGGCUGUGAUGAGAAUGGGUGAUUAGCUGAGGACAGUUAGACCACAGCCUUUUAACACAGUAAGCUUCUAAACCAUUUCCUUUUAAUACAAAUAAAGAGUUACAAAAACCA